rnacentral:rRNA from 1 species
GAUGAACGCUAGCGGCAGGCUUAACACAUGCAAGUCGAGGGGCAGCGCGGGAUAGCAAUAUCCUGGCGGCGACCGGCGGAAGGGUGCGUAACGCGUGAGCGACAUGCCCGUUGCCCGGGGACAACCGGUGGAAACGCCGACUAAUCCCCGAUGGGAUACGAUGCUUCAUGGCAUUGUAUUGAAAGUUACGGCGGCGACGGAUUGGCUCGCGUCCGAUUAGCUGGUUGGCGGGGUAACGGCCCACCAAGGCUGCGAUCGGUAGGGGUUCUGAGAGGAAGGCCCCCCACAAUGGGACUGAGACACGGCCCAUACUCCUACGGGAGGCAGCAGUGAGGAAUAUUGGUCAAUGGGCGGAAGCCUGAACCAGCCAUGCCGCGUGCGGGAAGGAGGCCCUAUGGGCUGUGAACCGCUUUUGCCUGGGGGCAAUAAGGGCGUCGCGCACGUCCAAUGAGAGUACCAGGCGAAUAAGCAUCGGCUAACUCCGUG